rnacentral:miRNA from 1 species
GUGGUCACCACCGCUCUGGUAGG